GGUGUCCUGGCGCAAUGGUAGCGCGUUGGUUUUCGGUCUUCCAAAGCUGAAACUCGCCAAAGGUUGUAGGUUCGAGCCCUGCGGACAUCG